ensembl:lncRNA
GUGAAGAGAUAUAUAGAUGAAUAGAAGUAGAUGGGUUGGUAGAGAGAUAGAUAAGUAGAAAUGGAUAGUCGAUGGGUGAAGAGAUGGAUAGGUAGAUGAAUAGAAGUAGAUGGGUAGGUAGACAGCGUAUGGAUGGCUGGAUAGGUAGGUGGAUGGAUAGAAGUAGAUGGGUUGGCAGAGAGAUAAACUUUGUAUUCUUUUGUCAAAAUGUAAUUUGAUCCAUCUCGUAAACAAUUUUCCUUUUCAGAUGACAUCAUGAAGACCUCUCAUUUUUCAACCCUUCCCUCCAACCAUCGGCCAUGUUCACAGAAUCAAUUAAGCAGGGAAGGGAAGGGAUCUCUGGGAAGACUGCGGGUUCGGAGAGGCCUUGAGCCCGAGCUUUGGACACCGUGGAGGUGGGAUAUCCAGUAGAUAUGAAUAAACGGGUUGAGGAGGAUGAAAGCUGUUCGGCAGAUAAAGCCAUAGCAGCCUGUCGGAAUCCUGCCACGCUGGUCCUGAUUUAUGGCCAUCUCAGUCGGACUCCCUACCAAAUCCACCCGCUGCCUUUCUUGUUCAGUGGAGAUGCCUAUGCUUGAGCUGAUAGGAUGUGGUCUGGUUCGUCACACUGAACCUGAGGACACAGCUGAUGCCUCCGAGUAGCACUCUGAUGUUCCCAGUUCCUCAUCUCUCACACAGCAUUAAAAAGUCUGGAUAAAAGUUAAUAAUUGAAAACAGAGAAGGGAAGGAAAGGGGGAAAAAGACACCAAGAUUCUGACACACUCUGCAUAAACAUCUGCUUAUUAGUGACCCUAGAUGCCACACACAGUCACAGCGGCUCUGAAGCACCCCGCUGAGAGCUCAGAUGUCAGAGGUCGGCCUUCACCAUCAUAACCUCUACAGAAGUGUCUUCCGGUCUUUCACAGCUCUGACCUCAGUGUACUGGACCCCGCAGAUGCAUGUGACCUUCCCAUGAAGUGCAUUUGGAGAAGUCACACCGUGCUGCCACCAGUUCGGUUCUUGGAAAGCACGCCUCAAAAUUCAAUCACACACGAGCACCAUCCAGGCACCCAACUCCACCCCCUUGUUGACUUGAUUAAGCAGGUCUUCGAGAGCCGGGUGUCAGGACUCUAUUGAGAUGUCGAAGGUGGGGGUCCGGUGACCCGAGCAGGGAGUCUUUCACGGGGAAGGUCAUCAGUCAAUGUUCCUGUCAGACGGAGAUCACACGGAUGUCUGCGGCCCUCCGUAGUAAUUACACUUGACUGGGGAUGAGGAGAUGUCUUCUUCUUUGGGCCUACAAUGACUGCAUAAUUUAUAAUCAACGGCAAUCAGGCAAACGUGACAUUGAGGGGAAAGCAAAUGAACACUUUUGCUUGAAUCUCCUGAUGUUUCUCUUGAUGAAAAUUCGGAGUUUCAGAAGAGAUCUCAGCAGACUGUGCACAUAUUUCCAAAGUCUGCGACCAAAGAGGAAUCACCAUGCCUCCCAAUUAACCCAUCGACUGACAGGAGGACGACAAUUUUGCCACUGCUGCCGCCUCCUGUUUUCAUGGUCUCUUCAGCUGUACAAGAAUCUCACGGUGGGGAGAUUUCAGUCAUCACAUCACGUUUGUGCUGAGGUGUGUGGCGUCUCACAUGCAAUUGGCUGCAGCUCCCAUCGGCGACUGCAGCCUCUCUUCAUCCCUUCAUGGAGCUUUGCACGGG